rnacentral:rRNA from 1 species
GCUGGAUUCGCUAGUAAUCGCGCAUCAGCCAUGGCGCGGUGAAUACGUUCCCGGGCCUUGUACACACCGCCCGUCAAGCCAUGAAAGCCGGGGGGUGCCUGAAGUCCGUGACCGCGAGGGUCGGCCUAGGGUAAAACUGGUGAUUGGGGCUAAGUCGUAACAAGGUAUC